rnacentral:rRNA from 1 species
GUGUCAGCCGCCGCGGUAAUACGGAGGGUGCAAGCGUUGUUCGGAAUCACUGGGCGUAAAGGGCGCGUAGGCGGCUCCAAAAGUCUGAUGUGAAAGCCCGGGGCUCAACCCCGGAAGGGCAUUGGAAACUGUGGAGCUUGAGUUCGGGAGAGGAAGGCAGAAUUCCCGGUGUAGGGUUGAAAUCCGUAGAUAUCGGGAGGAAAACCGGUGGCGAAGGCGGCCUUCUGGAACGAAACUGACGCUGAGGCGCGAAAGCGUGGGGAGCAAACAGGAUUAGAAACCCGUGUAGUCC